UAUUAGUCGAUGAUUAAGAGAGUAAAUUAUUAGUUGAUUACAGCGAGAUAGGGCAGAGUGGAAGCCUAUUAUGAUGCGAUAAUUGAACCGCACUUAUGAGACAAACUGGUGAAUCAAGUAGCUAGUUUCGCUGUCUGAGCGUUAUCAAAAUGAGUGAAUCGGAAAUAUUAUUUUAUUUCCCGUUAACUAGAGUGGUACCACGGGUAUGUUAUUUGCAACUCGUCUCUAUA
rnacentral:ncRNA from 1 species